rnacentral:rRNA from 1 species
CCAGACUCCUACGGGAGGCAGCAGUGAGGAAUAUUGGUCAAUGGCCGAGAGGCUGAACCAGCCAAGUCGCGUGAGGGAGGACGGCCCUACGGGUUGUAAACCUCUUUUGUCAGGGAGCAAGGGACAGGUCGUGACCUGUUGUGAGAGUACCUGAAGAAAAAGCAUCGGCUAACUCCGUGCCAGCAGCCGCGGUAAUACGGAGGAUGCGAGCGUUAUCCGGAUUUAUUGGGUUUAAAGGGUGCGCAGGCGGAGGCACAAGUCAGCGGUAAAAGCGCGGGGCUAACCCCCGCUCCGCCGUUGAAACUGUGUCCCUUGAGUGCGCGAAGGGUAGGCGGAAUGCGUGGUGUAGCGGUGAAAUGCUUAGAUAUCACGAAGAACCCCGAUUGCGAAGGCAGCUUACUAAACUGUGACUGACAUUGAUGCUCGAAAGUGUGGGUAUCAAACAGGAUUAGAUACCCCAGUAGC